UGGGGGCGGUGGGGGGGGGAUCGCGGUGGCAACUUGGUCGCGGCUCCGCGUGGUCUGCGGGCU
rnacentral:miRNA from 1 species